rnacentral:rRNA from 1 species
GACGUAGGGCGCGAGCGUUGUCCGGAUUUAUUGGGCGUAAAGGGUGCGUAGGUGGCGCUGUAAGUCGGGUGUGAAAUUUCGGAGCUUAACUCCGAAACUGCAUUCGAUACUGCGGUGCUUGAGGACUGGAGAGGAGACUGGAAUUCAUGGUGUAGCAGUGAAAUGCGUAGAGAUCAUGAGGAAGACCAGUGGCGAAGGCGGGUCUCUGGACAGUUCCUGACGCUGAGGCACGAAGGCCAGGGGAGCAAACGGG